UACGUAGGGUGCAAGCGUUAAUCGGAAUUACUGGGCGUAAAGCGUGCGUAGACGGCUAUCUAAGUCGGGUGUGAAAGCCCGGGCUCAACCUGGGAAUUGCAUUCGAGACUGAAUAGCUAGGGUACGGUAGAGGGAAGUGGAAUUUCCGGUGUAGCGGUGAAAUGCGUAGAUAUCGGAAGGAACAUCAGUGGCGAAAGCGACUUCCUGGACCAGUACCGACGUUCAGGCACGAAAGCGUGGGGAGCAAACAGG
rnacentral:rRNA from 1 species